rfam:Populus trichocarpa scaffold_1_contig_185, whole genome shotgun sequence.
UCUAGAAUCGAGAUAUGGGCUGAACACUGAACAAUGUCUGAACUGUAGAACAGAUUCUAACUUCUCUGUUGUUGCUAUCAUUUGAACUCGAGAAUGACACUUUUAAAUCUUGAACUCUUCAUGAAAGUUUUAGGUCUAUGUCUUAGCUUUCCAUA